AACUCUAUAGUAUAAAAUAAAUAACAUUAAAUUGCAAGUUUAAAGAUGUGGGGUUCACUAGGGUUU
rnacentral:tRNA from 1 species